GCCCGAUGUACCUGGUGGUGCCGUUCGGCAGAGCUCGGAUCAGCAGGUCGUCAAGGCCCUCCGGCGUUUCCUGUAUAAGGAGGAGCAGCGCCACACGUCAGCAGCACACGGGUUAGACACACGGGUUUGUCUCAUUUAAUAACCUUUUCCAUAUAAAAAAAAAUGACUACGCCACAUCCGAUGAGAUCCCCAACCACUUCAGUCAGGUUCCUUCUAAGGUAAAUUAAGAAUCAAACAAGGACACUUGAAACCAUCGACCGAUUAAAGUGGUUAUUCAUAGUUUGCCUACUGGUAUGUUUCUUAGAGUGCUAGAAAUUAAUGCUGUUGGUCGUGCAGACUGAAUAUAUAUUUUAUUAAUUAAUUGCCGCCUGCUUUUAUAAACAUGAAAUAUGAUUUCUUCCUCUUCCUGAGGCCAUCCCUGAUGACGUCAAUGUGGUAAAAAAGAUCAAUUGUCAGUGUCAAUUUCCGAUGGUAAAAGUUAUGUUUUAGCAGGGGUUUAAGUGAUGCUGUGCCUUUUAAUGUUUAUUAUUUUUCCCUCUGAUAUAUAGAGACACAUUAGUAUACUUUUGGAUGGUGAUACAGCAAACAUUAAUAAUAUCACCAACAGUGAACUGUUCCACUGUCCCUUCUGUAAAUACGUGGGUGCAAAAUAUAAGGUUGACAACCACGUAAAAGGCCAUUCGUCAGUGAAACACAAAGGUGCUUAUAUAUAUAAUAUAUAUAAGUAUGAAUCUUACUUCCUUUAUUCCUCUCUUACAGAGUUCACAAUAAUCAAGUGUGGAUUAAGUUGUCGGACGGCAACACAUUUUCAUUGUUGCUAUUGUGCAGCAACACUUAGAAAUCGAUUCCAAUUGGUAAGGCACCUACAAAUACACCAGGAGGAGGUGCAAGCUGCAGCCCCUGCACAGCACUUUGUGGCCCCCGCUCAGCUCCCUGUGGCCCCAGCUCAGCUCCCUGUGGCCCCCACUCAGCUCCCUAUGGCCCCCACUCAGCUCCCUAUGGCCCCCACUCAGCUCCCUGUGGCCCCCACUCAGCUCCGUGUGGCCCCCACUCAGCUCCCCGUGGCCCCCACUCAGCACCCUGUGGCCCCCACUCAGCUCCGUGUGGCCCCCACUCAGCUCCCUAUGGCCCCCACUCAGCUCCCUGCGGCCCCCCCGCUCAGCUCCCUGUGGCCCCCGCUCAGCUCCCUCAGCUCCCUGUGGCCCCCGCUCAGCUCCCUGUGGCCCCCACUCAGCUCCGUGUGGCCCCCACUCAGCUCCGUGUGGCCCCCACUCAGCUCCCUAUGGCCCCCACUCAGCUCCCUGCGGCCCCCCCGCUCAGCUCCCUGUGGCCCCCGCUCAGCUCCCUCAGCUCCCUGUGGCCCCCGCUCAGCUCCCUCAGCUCCCUGUGGCCCCCGCUCAGCUCCCUCAGCUCCCUGUGGCUCCCGCUCAGCUCCGUCAGCUCCCUGUGGCCCCCGCUCAGCUCCCUCAGCUCCCUGCGGCCCCCCCGCUCAGCUCCCUGUGGCUCCCACUCAGCUCCCUCAGCUCCCUGUGGCUCCCGCUCAGCUCCGUCAGCUCCCUGUGGCCCCCGCUCAGCUCCCUCAGCUCCCUGUGGCCCCCACUCAGCUCCCAUUGGCUCCUGCAGAAUGUUCCACGGCCACUAAAGCAUCAAGUGAGCAAAAUAAAUUCUGUUGCCCUCAUUGCAAGUUGAUUUUAAACAAAAGAAACUUCAAAACACACUGCAGGAGAAAACACACCAACCUCCUUGAGUCGAUAACGAAACAGAUUUUUGGCCUGUCAGUGUAUCGAUGGUACACAUGGUGUGUUUGUAGUUGAAAAAUCUUUUUGUCGUCCUGCAACACCUAUACAUGUAAUCAAGAAUAUGUGGGGGCCAGCACAGAAGAUCAUCUGUGAGGUCGACCAGUGUCGUUGUAACGCUGACUCUGCUCAAAGGAGCGGGAUGUUGCCUUUCUAUUGCCACCACAUCCAAUCAUUGGUGUCACGGUCAAAACGUGACACUCUGUACAUUGUAAUGGGGGCCAAUUGUAAUUUCAGAGAGGUAUGUGUAAAUCGUGACACAUUAUGCUUAGUGUACAAGGUGUUAUUUUUUUUACAACAUAUUAACAUCUUCCUCGUUUCCUUCUUCAAAGGAAAACAUGCUGCAAAUUAGGAGAUGGUGGGGUCUCGCUCUCCUGCAGAAAGUGCCCUGAAUAUCACACUUUUGAAUCAAAUCACAAAAAAACAGUUUUACUCACUGUCAACAGACCAACAUGAAUGGUUUCAUAGUGAAUGUAUGUUGUCAUUAAAUCACUAAGGUCUGAAGAAGACCGAUUGCAGGACAGAAAACGGCGACGAGUGCAAGGAGGGCUACUAGACGCUGGGAAAUUACAGAACAGGAAACCGGGAACAGGGUUGCUUGUUAUGGGCCAGAAAAAUACCCUGAUACUUGCCAUUGUUAAACAAUUGUGGAAGCUUUAGGAAUGUAUUUGGCUAGGCUAAAACAUUUUUUAUUUUUCUUUGCAGAUCAAACGUUUUUUGCCUGGGGUUAAAAGUAGCAAUUCAGAAGUCAGGGGCUUUUGUUCACGUGGGCGGCAACCGCUCCCUGGUUUCCCGCGCGGCGUCGUGAAAGCAGCUUGAACCGGCUGAUGAAACACGGAAACUCUCUGAAUCGCACACGAUCAAAACAUGAAUUCCAUCAGAGUGCUGGCGUGUUUGUUCAUCGUCUCCGCUACAAAUGCUAUAGUGGAGCCGGUAUCUAAGAACUAUCCUUGCUGUGAAAGCCCAGAGAUCAUGGUUGAUGACCAUGAAGACUGUGAACAGACUUGGGAAUCAGCAGAGAAAAAGAACCUCGCUGCAUAUCACCCGGACCAGCUGGCCCAUCCUCCUGAGUGUCAGGCUCCCUGCACCAGCGUUUCCUCAGUGAAGAUCAGCAUGGACAAAUGUCUUAAUGUCCAACACAAGAUGAUUUGUUCGCGCUCAAACGGAUCCAUAAAUGAGAAGAAUACAAAUUACAUCGCAAUCACGAACAACUGCCCAGAGACUCCAAAACCGAAUGCAAGAUCAGCGGCAUCAUCACAUAACAGUUACAAUGGCUGGGUACCUGGUCCACUGGCAUGUGUUUUCACUUUGAUCUGCGUGGUAUUUCCUUUCUACUGUGCAAGACAAAACGGUGGUAACCACAUCCAGGCUAACCAAUGAGUUAAACACCAGCGACCACGGACACUGAGUGGUCCCACUCCCAGCCUCAUCUCAUGGACCAAGCUGAGGAGAUUUUCCUCAUUCUCUCUCUUUCUGCUGCACUUUAUCUCCUCCCUUCCCCUUGGACGUCUCUGUUUAGAAUGUUAUAGGAAGGCUUUGAACCUGAGUUUAGCUAGCAAUAUACAGUUACCUUAUUAUUAUUAUAUUUCAGAAAGGGAAAAAGGGAACUGAAGUAGCCAAUAGGUCCCUCCUUUUGUUGCGCGUUAUUAUUGUUCUUAACUUGGAAAUGUUUCAUAAGCAAUAGAGCAAAUUCAAGAAAAUGAAUGUGGUAAAGUAUGUGGGGUUUCUGAGCAUUCUGGGUCUGUAUUCCAAUAGCCGUUUCACACCAAUUCUAUUCCCCGACGCUUCCUAAAUCUCCAGAUGUUCUCUUUGAUCCCUAUUAUACCUGCUGUCCGAUAAGCUAGAAAAGGAGCCUGUGGAGGUUUUACUACUGAAUAUUUACAGCCCCACUGCACUCCAGCGAUACACCAGCCUACAACGUUGGCGAGGGAAGUGCUUAAAACAAAGAAAUUCUGAAUUUGAAUGUUCAUGUAAACACACUGUGCUUUUGGUUUAUUUCAGGGUGUACGUCUUUUUUAAUCAAAGAUCAAUUAGGUGCUGCAACACUGGGUUUUUCGACUAUCUACCUCCUUUCUAUAAGCGAAACAUUUAUAAACUACUUUUAUAAAGGUUGUCAAUAAUAAAUUAAUAAGCUAGAUUAGCCAAGUUUAAUAAUGUAGUAUAUGUGCAAUGACCAAAAUGUGAGGAAAGGGGCAUGUUACAUCACUACAUUUCCUGAUGAAGAAGAAACGGUUCUCAUGGUCAGCCAACAACUUGAAAUAUGUAGAAAAACACUUGAUUAAAUAGCACUAAUAAUGUAAUGGUGCUGUUGUGCAAACUAAUAUUUCAGAGAAUUUACAUUUGAUACUGAUUGUGUCAGCCAUAUUUUGUUUCUAUAUACAGUUUGUUCAAAGGCGUGCACUUUUACCUGCCAUCUGCUUUCUCUUUUUUUUUUUCUGCUGACCUUACCUUAAUAAAACACAUUUAACAAUGCACUUCAA